rnacentral:rRNA from 1 species
AGGAGUGGAAGAGCCGUGAGGUUUGGAGCGGACUAGUACUAAUCAGUCGAGGACUUGACCAC